CACGUAGGGCGCAAGCGUUGUCCGGAAUUACUGGGCGUAAAGGGCUCGUAGGCGGCCAACUAAGUCGGACGUGAAAUCCCCAGGCUCAACCUGGGAACUGCGUCCGAUACUGGAUGUCUUGAAUUCGGGAGAGGGAUGCAGAAUUCCAGGUGUAGCGGUGAAAUGCGUAGAUAUCUGGAGGAAUACCGGUGGCGAAGGCGGCAGCCUGGACCGACAUUGACGCUGAGGAGCGAAAGCUAGGGGAGCAAACGGG
rnacentral:rRNA from 1 species